rnacentral:lncRNA from 1 species
GCCAUCAGGAGGACUGAAACUGUAAACACAAGCUGGUAUUUUGGUGUGAUCACGCUAAUAUGGCGGUUUGUGAGGUCAAGGGGUGGAAGUUACAGGUAGGCAAUAUAUCUUUAACCAAAGUUGUGCUAGAUGGGGUCUUCAAGGUUAUUUGGAUUUUGAUGUACUAAGAAAAUAUCCUCAGUAGAAAAAUACCAGAAAUGGCAUUCCAACUCACCCUACCAAGGACAAGAAGCAGAUCAUUAGGAACAGAUAUAUUGGAGCUUGGCCCUGUAAAAACAUAGGAUAGCUAACAAAUACAUAAAAUUAGUUGUAUGGCCUCAUUUAUUCCUUCAUAGAGAUACAGCUCCUGGCAACCACCAUUCUACUUGAUGCCUCUAUGAAUCUGACUACUCUAGGUACCUCAGAUGAGUGGAAUUAUGCAGUAUUUGUCCUUUUGUGUGUACAACUAAUUUGACAGGCAGUAUGAUAAGGAACAAUCUGAAUGACACGUAAACAGGAGGGGGUAAAUUCCAAGCACAGCCUGAAUGAGAAGUACAACUCAUUUCCUGUAACCUAGAUGCCUUUUUAACACAUCUAUGCAGUCUCCAUGUGAAACCAGGUGCUGUUCCCAAAGGAGAAAACACUGCCCUCCAGUGGUCUUCAAUGAAGAAAUGGAAAUAGUUUCAGGUGGAAACCAGGCUUCUUGGAAGACUUCAAACUAUGCCAAAUGGUCUGAUUUCACCAUAGAGAAGGAAUGAUCCAUGGAAAGGACUUAAUUUCUCCAUUUUCUGGAAUCGAAAUAUAAGGGCUUUUUAGUUAAAGUUCUUCCUGUAGAGUGUAUUGUUGUGUUCCAUGAAACAGACAAAACUCAGCAAGACAACAAAGACUUGAUCUGUAAGAGAAGAAUGUUAUACUAUUAAUUGCCAAUUUGCAUAUGUGUGCAGCUGCUGUUUUGGCUCUGAACUCAAUCCGAUAAGCUUGCUGGAGGUAUCGCAGAGCACUUGGCAGCUUUCCUAUUUGAAAAGAAAGCCUCUCCCCUCUACAGAACAGCUGAUCGUCUAUCAGCGAUAGACCCUGAUGGCGUGAAUUACAAUUACACUACUUUUCACACUAAAUCUGGGUGAUAGCUACUUGGAAAGAAGUUUCAUCAUUUUUUACCACAAACUGGAAAAAGAAUUACAUGGUCAUGCUGUGCUUUUAAAGGCAGUUUGGUUCACUUUUGUCUAUUUAACACCUAAUUCCAAGAAGUCCAUAGGCAUCUAGAGAUCUGAA